CCUACGGGGGGCAGCAGUGGGGGAUAUUGCACAAUGGGGGGAACCCUGAUGCAGCGACGCCGCGUGGGUGAAGGAGCGCUUCGGCGCGUAAAGCCCUAUCGGCAGGGAAGAAGAUGACGGUACCUGACCAAGAAGCCACGGCUAACUACGUGCCAGCAGCCGCGGGUAUACGUCGGGGGCAAGCGUUAUCCGGAUUUACUGGGGGUAAAGGGGGCGCAGACGGCAAUGCAAGCCCGGAGUGAAAGCCUGGGGCCCAACCCCGGGACUGCUCUUGGAACUGCAUGGCUGGAGUACAGGUGGGGCAGGGGGAAAUCCGGGGGUAGGGGUGAAAUGGGUAGAUAUUAGG
rnacentral:rRNA from 1 species